rnacentral:rRNA from 1 species
GGAGGGUGCAAGCGUUAAUCGGAAUUACUGGGCGUAAAGCGCACGCAGGCGGUUGGAUAAGUUAGAUGUGAAAGCCCCGGGCUCAACCUGGGAAUUGCAUUUAAAACUGUCCAGCUAGAGUCUUGUAGAGGGGGGUAGAAUUCCAGGUGUAGCGGUGAAAUGCGUAGAGAUCUGGAGGAAUACCGGUGGCGAAGGCGGCCCCCUGGACAAAGACUGACGCUCAGGUGCGAAAGCGUGGGGAGCAAACAGGAUUAGAUACCCUGGUAGUCCACGCCGUAAACGAUGUCGAUUUGGAGGCUGUGUCCUUGAGACGUGGCUUCCGGAGCUAACGCGUUAAAUCGACCGCCUGGGGAGUACGGCCGCAAGGUU